rnacentral:lncRNA from 1 species
GGGGAAAUGCAGAGGAAAACAAAGAUUGGCCAUGAACAUCAUUGAUCUCAUCACUGAAAGUCUAGGAUUUGGUCCAACAUAUCUAAAGCAAAAAAUGAGAAGAAGGGGUGAAUGUGAUAGAAGUGAAUUCUUACCUUCAAUGUCAUCAACCAACCCUUGCACUAGGGUUGCCAAUUGCCACCAUAUUCAGAUUAUUGUAUUCUAACAAUUGUUCUUCUUGGACACUAAAUAUGAA